GAACGCACAUUGCGCCCGCCAGUAUUCUGGCGGGCAUGCCUGUUCGAGCGUCAUUUCAACCCUCAAGCCCCAGUGGCCUGGUGUUGGGGACCGGCGACCUCGCCCGGGGGAACACCCCCGGCGCGUCCGCCGCCCCCGAAAUGAAUUGGCGGCCCCGUCGCGGCCUCCUCUGCGUAGUAGCACAACCUCGCAGCGGGAGCGCGACGCGGCCACUGCCGUAAAACGCCCAACUUUUUUUAGAGUUGACCUCGGAUCAGGUAGGAAUACCCGCUGAACUUAA
rnacentral:misc_RNA from 1 species